rnacentral:rRNA from 1 species
AUGGUUGAAACAACGAAACACACAACUUUCCAUUUGGUAUAUCGCCUCAUUGAGUUGACACUCAUUCUUCCUGUAGCAACUUCGUCAGUUGAGCGAAUAUUUUCAGCAAUGAAGAUCAUCAAGACAGAUUUGCGCAACAAACUAUCAAAUGAUUGGCUAAAUGAUUUAAUGGUGUGCUAUUGUGAGAAAGAGAUAUUCAGAAGCAUCACGAUGACAAAAUCAUGA